CUAAGUUAUAUAUGUCUGCGUGUAAGUGUGCAUUCAUCUAAAUACAUAAGUGAUUAAUUUCUAGUCUAUAACUAAGGUCUGAAUCAUGAAGACCUUAUUCUAGAGCCUCAGUAAAUUUACUUAAUCUAAAUGGGUCCAGGUGUCAGGCGUGAUUACCCUUAUCUUGUCUCCUGUUAAAUCAUGGAGGUUUGGGAGAUCCUUCAGACCCCCAACAAAACUUGUUUAAUCUGGCCGGGCACGGUGGCUCACGCCUAUAAUCCCAGCACUUUAGGAGGCUGAGGCAGGUGGAUCACCUGAGGUCGGGAGUUCAAGACUAGCCUGGCCAACAUGGUGAAACCCCAUCUCUACUAAAAAUACAAAAAAUUAGCUGGGCAUGGUGGCCGGCGCCUGUAUAUCAAAGCAUCUGAAGGAAAUCAAAUGAUUUUACCAUAAAAUAUAUUUUCUCGACAUAGCUCAAGGCAGAUAUUCAGAAGGGUUGGAAAUACAAAAAUAACUAAAAAGCUGCCUUUUGUGGGGGAGAUUUG
rnacentral:lncRNA from 1 species